rnacentral:rRNA from 1 species
UACGAAGGGGGCUAGCGUUGCUCGGAAUUACUGGGCGUAAAGCGCACGUAGGCGGUUUCUUAAGUCGGGGGUGAAAUCCUGGAGCUCAACUCCAGAACUGCCUUCGAUACUGGGAAACUUGAGUCCGGGAGAGGUGAGUGGAACUGCGAGUGUAGAGGUGAAAUUCGUAGAUAUUCGCAAGAACACCAGUGGCGAAGGCGGCUCACUGGCCCGGUACUGACGCUGAGGUGCGAAAGCGUGGGGAGCAAACAAG